rnacentral:lncRNA from 1 species
AGAAAUUGGAACACGAACACUGUGCCUGUUGGGAGAAGCUUUAUGAGGUUGCCAACUGAUGCGCCAACUGAUGCGAGGGUGCUGUUUCUCAAACCAUUGUUUUUUGAGGUACUUGGUAACAAUGAUGAAGUGUCUGCAAUCAUUUUUUGUUUGUCUUUGUACUGUUAUUUUUUUCUGCAGUUGCAUGCAGCUCAAACUGUUUCACAAACAUACCACUGGUAUUGUAUUAGUUUGUGUUUUUUGUUUCAGUGCCCCAUGCCUGUGUUCAUCUUAUAGGAGCACAAGUAGGUUGUUACGUAAAAUCACUAGCAAUCAUAUGGGGAGCAUUCAUUUUUGGAGAUCCCAUAUCGACAAGAGAUUAGAGUCUUUCAUUGUAUAUAAGUGGAUGCAAACCUCAAUCCUAUGAGCUGAUUUUAUGGAAGUUGAGUUAGACUUAAAAUCCACUUUGUAAUAUUCAUCUUCAAAAAUCAUGACCAUCUAUUCAAUGACAUGUACAUUGAAC